GACAAACGCUGGCGGCGUGCUUAACACAUGCAAGUCGAACGGAAAGGCCCCUUUGGGGGUACUCGAGUGGCGAACGGGUGAGUAACACGUGAGUAACCUGCCCUUGACUUCGGGAUAACUUCAGGAAACUGGGGCUAAUACCGGAUAGGAAUCCUUGCUGCAUGGUGGGGGUUGGAAAGCUUCGGCGGUUUUGGAUGGACUCGCGGCGUAUCAGCUUGUUGGUGGGGUAGUGGCUUACCAAGGCUUUGACGGGUAGCCGGCCUGAGAGGGCGACCGGCCACAUUGGGACUGAGAUACGGCCCAGACUCCUACGGGAGGCAGCAGUGGGGAAUAUUGCACAAUGGGCGGAAGCCUGAUGCAGCAACGCCGCGUGCGGGAUGACGGCCUUCGGGUUGUAAACCGCUUUCAGCAGGGGCGAAGCUUGUGGUGACGGUACCUGCAGAAGAAGCACCGGCUAACUACGUG
rnacentral:rRNA from 1 species